UUUUCGUAAUUUCUGCUCGGUCUAUCCCUGCUUUGGUUGAUAUUUAUUUAAUUAUCACUGGGCAAAGUAGGCCCUGCAGUAGUUUCUUCAA